GCUUUAUUAUUAUUACUGUUAUUAUUAUUAAAUUAGGUGACAUUUACGAGGUAUGAUACUUCCAUGUUGAAAUGUUAUUUUGGCAGCAGUCUGAUUCAUUAUUAAUAUAAUAUUUCAGGCGAUGUAUUUGACUAUGACCUGCAGUUCUUAGAGAUUAUGACUAGAAUAAAGUUGUUUUAUACUGAAAUAUGCGUGUUUGUGUGUGUGUGUGUGUUUCAGCCAAAACUCCCUAAGACAACACAAUAUUAUUUUAAAUAUUCACAUAUAUUUCGGUGUUUUAAUAAAUUAGUUCUGGUUUGUGUUUGCGCUUAAUCUCGGAGAACUACGUCACGCGCGACUUCCAGAUCACAUGACACUGGCACUAUUUGUUUUUUGUUUUUACAUAUUAUUUAAAGCGUGUAAAACUACAAGGCAAUACUCAUGCGCCUUUGAAAGAGCAUAAAACAUGUUAAAUUGGAUUUGCGUUAUAAAAAAAUUAUUCAAGCGUGUAUUAACAGCCUAAAAUAACCCGAGUUCUUUAUUCGACACAUGCACGACUGCACAGCACACCGCGCGAUUAUCAUCAGAUAUUCUAAGCGAGAAUCUGCAUCUUGUAUUAAACUCCAGUAAAGAUGUAAAGCUGUAACUCACUAGACGCAUCGAGCUGGACCUGAUGAGGUAGUGAAGAAAGAGAAAACACCAUUAAGCGCCGCAGAGCACAUGCAAACAUAUGGUGAGCUGCUUUCCCUGGACGCCGUUGAAAUAAAUAAAGCUGCGUGCAAACAAGGAGGAAGAAAACACCACCCUGUUCAUCCUGCUCUGAUCUACAGCAGAAAACCACUUUGAGAAGACAUGCUCUCAUCUCUACAGCAGGUGUGUCUCAGGGUGUCUUAUUAAUUAAAGCCGUGGACCUCAGAGACUCGUCAAGAAGCUGGAUUACAGACGGACAUCUGAGUUAUCAGCAGGUGCGUCCCAAAACCGGCUGACUUCAGUUCUGCCUCCCAAUACAUCUGACCAGUCUGGCAUCCUCGAACGAAUUCCUGCAACGUCUGCCGUAUUAUUGUCAGAAGAACGCUUUGAAAAAUCCUGAUGUUCUGGAGGCUCUUCAGUCUUGUGAGGAUGAUUUGACACAAAGUAUCUUCAAGACGAGUCGACAUACAACUUAACAGACGAUUGACACACAGUACGACUCUCAGCUUUAAAUAAUACGGUUUCAGGCAGGGUUUGUUGUUGUUGCAUUUGGCUUUUUGACUAAAACGACAUCACCAGUUUUUAAACUCAUUUUUUUACGCUGUAGGUCACUUAUGAGGAGAACUGGUGUAGAUUAGACUUUUUUUGCUCAUUGCUAGUAAAAAUCAAACAUAAUUACAAAGUAACAAGUUUAACGCCUUUACUGUUUUAGUUUCCUAUUUACAUAUCUCCCUUUUUUCAUUCUCAUUUCUAUUUAAUUUAAACAUUUUUCCUUAGUUUUGACUUGUUUUCCUUUCCUGAUUCCUUCACAUUCGGCUAUUUCUGUUUCUUGAUUCCUUUUUCAUUUCACUUUUUCCAUUCCAGUUAUUUUUCUACUUCCUUCCUGUUUUCUUUCCUUCCUCUCUCAUUUUCCUGUCUUUUUUGGUUUCUUUACAUACACUUUCAUUUCCUUUUUUAAUAUUCCUUACAUUACCAUUUUAAUUUCCCUGAUUCCUUUAUCUUUUACUGUUUCUUCAUUCCUUUAUUUCCUUACUUGUUUCCUUUUGUUUACAUUUUUUUUAAAUUUCACUUCCUGUUUCUCUUACUUCUAGAAUUCUAGUUUUUUUUUUUCCUUUUCCUAUUUCUAAUUCCUUUGGCUAUUUACAUUUAUUUUUCCCUUUCCUGUUUCCUUCCUAUGUGGCACUGAUGGUCAUUCAUGCAAAAUAAGUACAAGGUGAAACAUCUUCAACAUCAUACCAUUUCAUAGUGAAUGUUUCAGGUUUAAAGCUCUGCAGUCGUGCACAGGUCUGAAGCAGCACGUCUCGUCCUCUCUCUCCUCUGUCCUGUAUGAGCUGGAUCUGUGCAUCAUGUCUCUCGUCAGCGCUGAAGCUAGCCGUGUCUGGGUCUCAUCAGAAUGAAACGGGACGGGAGGCAGGCUGCUGAUCUCUCGCUCUCUCGCUCCUCUUCACCAAAUCAAUGGUGGCCUGUGGAGCGCUGGCCUGACGCUCACUGACUCUUUCAUGAGGAUGUUUGAAGCUCUGAAGAUCUUGAGGAGAGAGUCAGUCGCUGUUUAAAUGAGUGGUUGAUGGAUAUGCGAGUACAGUAGGUGUGUGUUGGAGGUUGUGUGUGUGUGUGUGUGUGUGGCUGUAUCGUGCCGUGGUGUUAAUGAGAGUCUCGGCUCCUGUGGAGUUGAAAUCUCCAGUGUUAGUUACACACUGUUGACCCGUGUGCUUCCCAAAUGAUCUGGCUCCAGGGUUUAGGGUUUACACCGGACAUCAAGUGGUGAUUCAACACCGUCCCAAAAUCUUGAUGGGUUCAUGCUGUCAGCAGCAAAUAAUUCUCCACAGAAAGCACAUUGUGCCCAAUAGAGAUCACGAGGAGAGCAUGUCACACAACCUGUCCAUGGCAUCUGAUUCAUCCGACCAGCUCCAGAUCCCAGAGUCUGAAAUGGAAAGGGCUUUUUCCUGAAAAAAGAAAAGUGGUUUUGGGAUGCCAGCGGGCCACUCAUGUCAAGACCUGCCUCUUUCACCUUCACAUCCUCCACCGCUGAACACAGGAUCAGAGCAAAGUUCAGCUUCAUCCCAGUCACACUCGGAGAAGGAAGACCAAUCAGAAGUCAGUAUGCAAAUACUACGAUGAUGUCAUCACUGCUGGAUACAUUUGAAAAGUGAAGAUUCCAUCAGGUCAAAGAAAGGUCAGACCAUAACAUUACAGUGGAAUAUUUACAGCCACCGAAAACAGUUGGAGCUGAAUUAAUUGGAGAAGUUGAACUCAAGCCCUCUGAUGAUGUAUGUUGUGUCUGUGAUUCUGUUCUUCUUUUCUCGCUCCUCGUUUAUCACGAUGAUCACAUUUCUCUCCACUGCUUCUUCUCUUAUUUCUCAAGAUGAUAAAUUCAGACCAUGUGUGGACGAGGCCAUGCACUGAAUUCUUUCUGAGUUUUGUGUUUUGAAGUGCACACUAGUGAGCAACGUCGUAUAUUAACAUUGUAUUUGUAAAUAAAAUACUGUGCAUUUUAUAAACUUGUCACACAAGUUUUCUGGCAGGCACAGUUGUGUUUUAUUUACACCUUUUUUUCUCAGUUUUUUUAUAGUGUGUGUGUGCGAGUUCAUGCACAUGUGAGCUUGAGUGUGUGUGUGUCUGUGUGUGUGUCUCUGUGUCUGUGUGUGUGUGUGUGUGUGUGUGUAAAUGCUGAGCCAGCGGCUCCAUCUCUCCUCUGAACACAUGAUUGAUGAAGUCCAUCAGAGAGAGAGAGAGAGAGAGAGAGAGAGAGAGGGGGAAUACGGUGAAGAGAGGAGCACAGAGUGAUGGAUGGAUGUGAGCUGAUUGCUGUUGUUUGACACUCUCAGAUCUUAGUGUUUAAUGAAUGAGUGUGUGUCACAGGCUCAGAUCAUUCACUUACACUGUGCUGCAGAUGCUGAAGUGAAUCUGAGACUGACGUUCUGUCUGUAGUUCUGACGUUAUGUCAUUUAACAUCUUUCUGUCGUUAAACAGAUCUGCUAAGCUUUCCUGGUGUGUGUGUAUUCCACAGACAAGCUGCUGGUUCUCAAUUUGAGCCUUUUUUGCCAUUUCCCAUCCAUUAUAGUUCUGAAAAAUCAGCCCUGACUCCUCAAACCUGCCAGGUUCGUCCCAGGAAUGAGUGUCAUCAUUAGUGACUGGAAGCAGAGAGUCCAGGACGUCCUUCUGAAGGAUUGAUCUCUGCUCUGCUCAAACACCGGGUCACUGUGAUGAAGGUCAUGAGAUUCACUUCAGACGUUUGCCAGACUGCAUUUAUAACCAUCAGAUCGCAUCAACAGCUGGACGUGUAUGAUUCAUUUACAUCAACCUGACAGGAACACACACACACACACACACACACAUGCUCUCUCUCUGUGUGUGUGCUCUGUGGUGGAAACAGUGAGGUAAAUGUCCCCGUAUGAUUCAGGUUAGAGGAUACAGUCUCUGCUGCUCCGAUAAGAAUUGAAAUCCUGUUUUGCUUCAUAUCAACUCACUAAACCAAAUGGGAACUCGCUCUGAUUUAUUACUGCACUGUUUUCAACCUUGACUCAUAAAGUGUUUGUCGCAGCCCGUUCCAUUUCUUUUUAGGUUAACAGGAAGCACUGUCCACAGAAACACUACGCUCCCAAAGCAAACGUUUUAACUCUGUGGCUCAUGACCGAUGAAUCGGGACAAACAAUGGAUUCACAAAACAAUCAUAAAAUGCAAAUAACCCUAUAAUCAAGCAUGGUUUGUCUAUUAGCGUCUAUAUUAUAUUAUGAUAAUAAAUUAAUUAUAAUUAUUUAGUUUUAUUGCAGCAGAUUUAAUUAUUAUAAUUAAAUG